rnacentral:lncRNA from 1 species
GGUGAUGUAGCCACACAGUCCCAGUAAGAUUAUUCUACCAAAAACAAUUUUCACCAAAACUAUUUUCCCCAAUUUGUUGAAGACUAUUGAAUGAGUGAUAUUUGUCCUAUUUGAAUUACAAAGAGCAAUAGCAUCUGCAUAUGAGUGAAAGUGAAAUUUGGGGUUGGGUAGAAUGUAUAUGCAGAACUUAUUAUUACCUUGUAGAGAUGUUGUUUUUGAAGGACUCUCAGUUCAAUUACAACAAAUAUAUAUAAAAAAGAAGAUAAUAUAGAAAAUAUAGCAACUAACAAGGAACAAUGUAAAAGUACACCAAGAAACAAUAAUUAUAAGUAUCUUAAUCAUAGUCGAGCC